AAUUCGUACCUUGUCACGCCUUUUGGGAGUAGUCCCACCGGAAAAUCGUAUUCCUGUAUAAUCUCGUACACUGUGGGGGACUGGGAUUCCUUGCCGGCGACGGCCGAAGAAGCUGCAGAGAAAAGGACGAGAAAGAUGCAUAACGGAAGAACUGAAGAAGACAUUUUGACUAGUUAGCGACCCCAACUAACUUAAAAUUGAGAGGUAAUUGUUACUGCUAUUAUUGAGUGGCUUGAAUUUGAUACUUGUACUAUGGAAUAAUCUAUCCGUUUUAAUUUACUUGUCUUACUUUCCUUUUCUUUUAGAUCUGUAUUAACAUUUUUUUUCGAAAGUUUGUAACUUUUUAACUCAAUUUUUUAUAUGAUAUAUUUAAUAUCACAAAAUUCAAGAAUAUUUUAGUAUAUUAUACACAUCCUUAAUUCAUAAUACUUUAGGGAUCGUUUGGUUGGGUAACUCCCAUGAGAAUAAAAAAAUAAUACAAUCCCAAAAUUAAUUAUAUUAUAAUUUUAUCCAAAAUAAACCUAAAAUAAAUUUAUUUCAAAUUUAAUCUCGUAAUUAUUUAUCUUUUAUAACAAACGAACGGUUAGUAUAUUACACCCUAUUUACAGUAGUAAAUAGUAGAUGACGUGAAACACAUUUGUGUACCUUCCCAGACUAUGUAGGGCCCUUCUCUGUUUUGCAGGAGAUGUUGGGGGAAUGAAAGAGGUGUAGUUGGACGUUAAAUGAAACCUGGGUAGGUCGCUUCGCGGUAAAAGUUUUUGUUUAACUAUUGCGU
rnacentral:lncRNA from 1 species